CUAGCUUAUUAUACAGAGGACACACAUUUUGCUUCAACUCACUGAACCGAGGCUGCCAUGAAUUUUCCUGAUCCACCUUAUCUGUCUCAGGAGGAGACAUGGCAUCCAAGCAACGAGGUUCAGAUUCAAAUGAGUCACUAGAUUUCUCUAAGAGGUCCACAAGAUGGCUGUUGGUCCUUUUAACGUCCUCAGUGUUUUGCUGAGGAGCAUCCAGAUCACUGUGCCCAUUCCCUGAGGAUGACUUACCAUCUAUCUCCACAACUUGAAUCAUGGUUAUCUUCAGAUUUAGCUUUGCUAGUCAUCUCCUCCCAACCUUGACAUGGAUCAGGCCCGCCAAAUGUGGGAGGACAACCAUCCAAGAGAAAGUUGUCUUCAGAAUUUUCAGAUUGCUUAAAAAGGUGCUCAUUGGAAAUAGACGAACUGGAUGUUGUUCUGUCAAGAUUCUCAUAAGCGGUUUCUGUCCCUGGACGAGGAUCAUUAGCAACACCGGACUCUGAGGCCCAAUCUUGAUCUACUUUUAUAACCUGGUCUUUCCCAGCUGAUUGGAGCAAACUUUCAACAUGAGAUUGAAAGACAUCACGUUGCCGAGGCUAAUGGUACAAAUGAUGGCUGUUCUGGCAUUGCCUCCUAAAGAGUUAUGCAGAAUGCGAGUAAGCUUGGAAUCUCUGUAAGAAUACAAUUUUUGGAUUCCUAACAGUUUGGUAAAAAAGAAUCUUGAGAGUUGCGUCUUGAGAGUUCCUAGCAAUGAAGUUUGACAAGAAAUCAACAUCAACAACAUGAAAGAAUAUUGGCUCAUAAGAUUUCAUGAUCUACCAAACUAUUACAUCCACUGGUAAACAAAACAUUUUAUGAAUAAUCUGAUAUUGCACAACAAACAAAGUUGAGAAGAAGAUUAAGAAGCAAAUAGAUGCAAAUAAACUUUAUUUUUAACAUGGGAGGAAAUUGUACCUCAGUUUCCUAAUUACA